rnacentral:rRNA from 1 species
CCCUUAGAGUUUGAUCCUGGCUCAGGAUGAACGUUGGCGGCAUGCCUAACACAUGCAAGUCGAACGGCAGCACGGUCUAGCUUGCUAGAUGGGUGGCGAGUGGCGGACGGGUGAGUAACGCGUAGGAAUAUACCUUAAAGAGGGGGACAACUUGGGGAAACUCAAGCUAAUACCGCAUAAUUUCUUUGGAAUAAAGCUGGGGACCUUCGGGCCUGGCGCUUUAAGAAUAGCCUGCGUCCGAUUAGCUAGUUGGUGUGGUAAAGGCAUACCAAGGCGACGAUCGGUAGCUGGUCUGAGAGGAUGACCAGCCACACUGGAACUGAGAGACGGUCCAGACUCCUACGGGAGGCAGCAGUGGGGAAUAUUGGACAAUGGGGGGAACCCUGAUCCAGCGAUGCCGCGUGUGUGAAGAAGGCCUGAGGGUUGUAAAGCACUUUCAGUGGGGAGGAGGUUUGACUGGUUAAGAGCUGGUUGAAUGGACGUUACCUACAGAAGAAGCACCGGCUAACUCCGUGCCAGCAGCCGCGGUAAUACGGAGGGUGCGAGCGUUAAUCGGAAUUACUGGGCGUAAAGGGUGCGUAGGUGGUUUAUUAAGUUAUCUGUGAAAUUCCUGGGCUCAACCUGGGCUGGUCAGAUGAUACUGGUAGACUGGAGUAUGGGAGAGGGCGGAAGAAUUUCCGGCGUAGCGGUGAAAUGCGUAGAGAUCGGAAGGAA